rnacentral:rRNA from 1 species
AACGAUGGGUGCUAGUUGUCAGGCAGCAUGCUGUUUGGUGACGCAGCUAACGCGUAAAGCACCCCGCCUGGGGACUACGGUCGCAAGACUAAAACUCAAAGGAAUUGACGGGGGCCCGCACAAGCGGUGGAGCAUGUGGUUUAAUUCGAGGCAACGCGAAGAACCUUACCGGCCCUUGACAUACCAAUCGCGGAUAGCAGAGAUGCUUUCCUUCAGUUCGGCUGGAUUGGAUACAGGUGCUGCAUGGUUGUCGUCAGCUCGUGUCGUGAGAUGUUGGGUUAAGUCCCGCAACGAGCGCAACCCUCGCCUUUAGUUGCCAGCAUUAAGUUGGGCACUCUAGAGGGACUGCCGGUGAUAAGCCGGAGGAAGGUGGGGAUGACGUCAAAUCAUCAUGGCCCUUACGGGCCGGGCUACACACGUGCUACAAUGGCGGUGACAGUGAGCAGCCACUCAGCGAUGAGGAGCUAAUCUCUAAAAGCCGUCUCAGUUCGGAUUGUUCUCUGCAACUCGAGAGCAUGAAGUUGGAAUCGCUAGUAAUCGUGGAUCAGCAUGCCACGGUGAAUACGUUCCCGGGCCUUGUACACACCGCCCGUCACACCAUGGGAGUUGGUUUUACCCGAAGACUGUGUGCUAACUUUUAGAGGCAGCAGGCCACGGUAAGGUCAGCGACUGGGGUGAAGUCGUAACAAGGUAACCGUA